GAUGAACGCUGACAGAAUGCUUAACACAUGCAAGUCGACUGGAAUUUACCUUCGGGUGAUAGUACGGUGGCGGACGGGUGAGUAACGCGUAAAGAAUUUGCCCUUCAGACUGGGACAACUAAUCGAAAGGUUAGCUAAUACCAGAUAUUAUGAGAUCUUGGCAUCAAGGACUUAUGAAAGCUAUAUGCGCUGAAGGAGAACUUUGCGUUCCAUUAGGUAGUUGGUAGGGUAAUGGCCUACCAAGCCGACGAUGGAUAGCCGGCCUGAGAGGGUGAACGGCCACAAGGGGACUGAGACACGGCCCUUACUCCUACGGGAGGCAGCAGUGGGGAAUAUUGGACAAUGGACCAAAAGUCUGAUCCAGCAAUUCUGUGUGCACGAUGAAGGUCUUCGGAUUGUAAAGUGCUUUCAGGUGGGAAGAAGAAAGUGACGGUACCACCAGAAGAAGCGACGGCUAAAUACGUGCCAGCAGCCGCUGU
rnacentral:rRNA from 1 species